AGAGUUUGAUCAUGGCUCAGAACGAACGCUGGCGGCAGGCUUAACACAUGCAAGUCGAACGCCCCGCAAGGGGAGUGGCAGACGGGUGAGUAACGCGUGGGAACGUGCCCUUCGCUUCAGGAUAGCCUCGGGAAACUGGGAGUAAUACUGAAUACGCCGUAUUGGGAAAGAUUUAUCGGCGAAGGAUCGGCCCGCGUUAGAUUAGGUAGUUGGCGGUGUAAUGGACCACCAAGCCUACGAUCUAUAGCUGGUCUGAGAGGAUGAUCAGCCACACUGGGACUGAGACACGGCCCAGACUCCUACGGGAGGCAGCAGUGGGGAAUCUUGGACAAUGGGCGAAAGCCUGAUCCAGCCAUGCCGCGUGAGUGAAGAAGGCCUUAGGGUUGUAAAACUCUUUCGCCGGAGAAGAUAAUGACGGUAUCCGAGAAGAGCCCUGCCUCGCU
rnacentral:rRNA from 1 species